rnacentral:rRNA from 1 species
CCCUUAGAUGUCCUGGGCCGCACGCGCGUUACACUGAUGCAUUCAACGAGCUUAUAACCUUGGCCGAGAGGCCUGGGCAAUCUUGUUAACGUGCAUCGUGAUAGGGUUAGAUUAUUGAAAUUAUUAAUCUUGAACGAGGAAUUCCUAGUAAACGCAGAUCAUCAAUCUGCAUUGAUUACGUCCCUGCCCUUUGUACACACCGCCCGUCGCGCCUACCGAUUGGAUGGUCCGGUGAAGCCUCGGGAUUGUGGUUCUUGCCGCUUUAUUGUGGCGUGACCGCGAGAACUUGUCUAAACCUUAUCAUCUAGAGGAAGGUGAAGUCGUAACA